CCUACGGGAGGCAGCAGUGAGGAAUAUUGGUCAAUGGGCGUAAGUCUGAACCAGCCAAGUCGCGUGAGGGAUGAAGGUUCUAUGGAUUGUAAACCUCUUUUAUAAGGGAAUAAAGUGUGGGACGUGUCCUAUUUUGUAUGUACCUUAUGAAUAAGGAUCGGCUAACUCCGUGCCAGCAGCCGCGGUAAUACGGAGGAUCCGAGCGUUAUCCGGAUUUAUUGGGUUUAAAGGGUGCGUAGGCGGCCUUUUAAGUCAGCGGUGAAAGUCUGUGGCUCAACCAUAGAAUUGCCGUUGAAACUGGGAGGCUUGAGUAUGUUUGAGGCAGGCGGAAUGCGUGGUGUAGCGGUGAAAUGCUUAGAUAUCACGCAGAACCCCGAUUGCGAAGGCAGCCUGCCAAGCCGUGACUGACACUGAUGCACGAAAGCGUGGGGAUCAAACAGGAUUAGAUACCCUGGUAGUC
rnacentral:rRNA from 1 species